rnacentral:rRNA from 1 species
GACGUAGGGCGCGAGCGUUGUCCGGAUUUAUUGGGCGUAAAGAGCUCGUAGGCGGCUUGUCGCGUCGUUCGUGAAAACUCACAGCUCAACUGUGAGCUUGCGGUCGAUACGGGCAGGCUAGAGUUCGGUAGGGGAGACUGGAAUUCCUGGUGUAGCGGUGAAAUGCGCAGAUAUCAGGAGGAACACCGGUGGCGAAGGCAGGUCUCUGGGCAUUAACUGACGCUGAGGAGCGAAAGCAUGGGGAGCGAACAGG